GGUGUGGCCCAGUGUAGGUGCGUAUUAUGCGCUGCAGACCGUUGUGUGUGACAAAGCCCAUUGUGUGUUGGUGUGUGUGUGUGUCUUAAUCCACGUGGACGCACGCCUCUUCCUUGCUCUGCCCUAAGACACACCCCCGCCCCUCCUUAGUCUGAGAAGGGGGGCUGGGGAGCCUCCCCUCUGCCCGGGGGCCUCCUCAGCACCUCCCCGCCCUGCCCAACAGUCACCACCUCCCAGAGGGCACAGACUCUGCUGUACCUCAAAGCACAAGCCCAGAGCAGGAGCAGAGCAGGCCGGGGACCUCAAGCCACUGUGGCUGCCCUUUGUGUGCUGCGAGGUGGGGGACCCUGGGCAGGAAGCUGGCUGGGCCCCAAGACCCAGGGAGCCAUGGGCGGGGAGCUGGUGCCGGGCCUGGGGGCCCUGCGGCGGCGAAAGCGCCUGCUGGAGCAGGAGAAGAGUCUGGCCAGCUGGACGCUGGCACUGGCAGGAACUGGCAUUGGACUCAUGGUCCUGCACGCGGAGAUGCUGUGGUUCGGGGGGUGCCCGUGGGCGCUCUAUCUGUUCCUGGUUAAAUGCAUGAUCAGCAUUUCCACGUUCCUGCUCCUGUCUCUCAUCGUGGCCUUUCACGCCAAAGAGGUCCAGCUGUUCAUGACGGACAACGGGCUCCGGGACUGGCGCGUGGCGCUGACCGGGCGGCAGGUGGCGCAGAUCGUGCUGGAGCUGGUGGUGUGCGGGUUGCACCCGCCGCCGGUGCCGGGCCCGCCGUGCGUGCUGAGCUCGGGGUUCCCGAAGACCACGGCCACGCAGUCCUGGCCCAGCUUCCUGGACCAGGGGGAGGCGCUGCUGUCGCUGGCCAUGCUGCUGCGCCUGUACCUGGUGCCCCGCGCCCUGCUCCUGCGCAGCGGCGUCCUGCUCAACGCCUCCUACCGCAGCAUCGGCGCGCUCAACCAGGUCCGCUUCCGCCACUGGUUCGUGGCCAAGCUGUACAUGAACACGCACCCCGGCCGCCUGCUGCUCUGCCUCACGCUUGGCCUCUGGCUCACCACCGCCUGGGUGCUGUCGGUAGCCGAGAGGCAGGCUGUUAAUGCCACCGGGCACCUUUCGGACACACUGUGGCUGAUCCCCAUCACAUUCCUGACCAUUGGCUAUGGCGAUGUGGUGCCAGGUACCAUGUGGGGCAAGAUUGUCUGCCUCUGCACUGGUGUCAUGGGGGUCUGCUGCACAGCCCUGCUGGUGGCCGUGGUGGCCCGGAAACUGGAGUUUAAUAAGGCAGAAAAGCAUGUGCACAACUUCAUGAUGGAUAUUCAGUAUGCCAAAGAGAUGAGGGAGUCGGCUGCUCGGGUGCUGCAGGAGUCCUGGCUGUUGUACAAACAUACGCGCAGGAAGGAGUCUGGAGCUGCCCGCAAGCACCAGCGCAGGCUGCUGGCUGCCAUCAACAGGUUCCGCCAGGUGCGGCUGAAACACAGAAAGCUCCGGGAGCAAGUGAACUCCAUGGUGGACAUCUCCAAGAUGCACAUGAUCCUGUGUGACCUGCAGCUCCGACUGAGCAGCUCCCACCAGGCCCUGGAGAAGCAGAUUGAUGCGCUAGCAGGGAAGCUGGACACCCUGACCGAGCUGCUCAGUGUUGCCCUGGGGCCGCGGCAGCUUCCAGAACCAAGCCAGGAGGCCACGUAGCUGGACCCAUCCGGGAAGAACCAGGCUACUCUUCCCCAGGAUUGAGGUCAAGGACAUUCUCUCUGCUACUCCUGACCCAGCCACACAUAUAACCACCCCCCCUCCGCCCAAGUGUGAGGACUGCUGGGGGCCCCACCUUGGAUGGUGGAUGCUGAUGGAUGCUGGAGGGGAUGCUGGAUUAAGGAGGGAGGCCGUGGCCCACCCCCCACCAAGGCCCCAAAUGGGAAAACGGUCACCCCUGCCGCACAUACUCUCGACAAAAACAUCCUCACUCUGCUGCUGUAGAUGGCCACCAGCUUUCAUUUGGACGUGGAGGUGUUUGGGGGCCGGGACUCCUGGGUCCCAGAGGAGGAGGAAGAGGAUCAGGAGAAGGGGCACGGGGGCCCAGAGUCCAGGAUCCUGGGCUGCCUCAGUGACCCGCUGGCCGGCAGAGCUGAAGGAACCAGGCCCGAGGCAGGGACGAGGCAGGAGGCAGCGCCCCCUGGCGGGAGAACGAGGAGGACACUGUUUCUCCAGAGCUGCAGAGAAUUACCUGGUGGGAGAAGGCGGAUUCUCUACCAUCUGAGCCGCCGAGGAAGCCCGUCUGAACCAGCUUCUGCAACUAUAUGAGAGGCCUCCGAGGAGUAUCCUCCAAGCCCACCAGAACCCAGAUGACACCUCAUCCAUCAGGAGAGUAACAGGAACCCCAAACCAUCCCCUGUACUCAUUUCUCGUAUCUGCUAGGACUUGGCCGGGAAAUGGGAAGGGGGCUGGGCUUAUGGAGGUCCUCCCGUAUGCCCGGCUCUGCGCUCCUGCGUUGUAAGUCACCACCACCUCUGCCCACCCCACCCCACCCCACUGUACAAAUACAGAGACUGAAGUUUCGAGACGAGGAAGGCCUCAAGGGUCUGGCUUCACACCCAGCGCAUCCUGAGACCGAGCCUUCCCUCUCAGUCUGGCUUGAGUAUUGAGAAGUUUCCACAACAGAGACUAAGACAGAAGGGAAGGGAACAGGACCCAAGCUUUGAAAGAAUGACGCAGAUACGACUGAAACUAGGCCCACCAGGCCCAAGGUGACAGAAGAUACGACUUCCCUAGACUCCAAGCCUCAUUUUUUUUUUCUUUUUUUCCCCAUCCCGAUUCUAAGCCUCAUUAUACACUCAUUGUAAUAUAACAGCAUAUGCUAAGUGAUACACCACACAUGCCAUGACAGUUCUGAAGCUGACCAUAGAAGGCCAAAAAGUGGGUGGUGGCCCAAUUCCUGGAAAUUCUCGCUGCUACCCCAUUAAGGUUGGAAUAAUACUCCCAGUUGUUAGCUUAUGAAAUUAUCCCGCCCAUAAAAACUAACCACCCCCACACCCACUGGCCACUCUUGCUUUCUGAGAUGGUCGCCUUUCUGCCUACGGAAUGUGUCUCCCUCUAAAUAAACUUACUUUCACUUUAUACUAUGGCUCACUCUUGAAUUCUUUUCUGUGUGAAGCCAAGGACCCUCACUUGGUCUCCCCUCACAGGGACUCAUCUGAGGCCUGUGACAUGGCCAUUCUCUUCCAGACAAGUCUCCUGCAACAAGACUGGGGGAUAAGACAGCCAUGUUUUCUUCCCCAUGAACCCACGUCUACCUCCAGCUACUGCUCUGUCAUUUCUGCUCCCCAGUGGAUCACCAGCUUUUAGGAACUCCUCUUUCCCUUGGCCCUAGGUUAUCACCUCUCCCGAUGUUCCUGCUCCUUCUCUGGGACAGUGGUCCUUUCUCUGAUUCCUAGUGUGGGAGGCCCAGGGCCCAGUCUCUGCUCAAUCUACUCCCUCAGUCUGGAUGGUUUCAACAAAUCCCCAGGCUUUAAAUGCCAUCUAUGUAUUAACAGCUCCAAAAUUUAGCAUGCUUGUAUAGUUAUUGAUAAAAUGACAGGACAUCUGAGAGUCUGCUUAAAAGCUUAAAAAAUAAAACAGAAACUCCAGGAGAAAGUGUACUUAUAAAAUUAGAAAGCAGAAAACAGAAGAAAUAAAGAUAAGUAAAAUGGGAUGACUGGCCAUACUGGAUGGUGGGUUUAGAGGAGUUCUUCAUACCAGAAAAACUUUUGUGUGUGUUUUUAAAACUCCACAAUGAAAAGUCAGUAAAAAAUUCUGUAUUUCCAAAUGCUGGCUUCUCUCUACUGUGACCACUUACUUGGACCAACAUGCACCUCAAAGGUAAGCAGCUCAAAGCUUUUCAAUUUCCCAUCAAGUCUGCUUGUUCCCAUCUUCAAAAAGCAUCACUCUCCACCCAGUGGGUCAGGCCCAAACCUUCAGGAUGACUUUUAACUCAUCCCUGAUUCAUGCUUCCUCUCACACAACCCUCCUCCUGAGUCAUCAUCCUCUCUCGCCCAGGGAAGGGACAGUGGCUUCCUCAUCUCCUGCUACCACUGCUGCCCAGCUGCAGCCCACUCUUCUCACAGCAACCAGCACUGCUUUAACUUUUUUGCAUGUACGUAACAGUCUCACAGUUCAGAAAUGUAAAAGUCUUAAGAAAACAUAUAUCACAACAUGCUGGUCCUUGCUUACAGCCCUCCAAAGGCUUCCUGUUUCACUUAGAAGUAAAUUCAAGAGCCUUUACCUAUGGCCUACAAGGCCUCAUGUAACUUGGCCCUCUCUACAGCUGUAUCCCUAAAUAAUCCUAUCCCUAUUUCACUAUGCUUCAGCCACUCUGGUCAACUUGAUAAUCCUUGAACAACCAGGUCCGUUCUCACUUUGGAAUCUUUAAUCUGUUUUUCAGCAUCUUCCUGUGGUUCAUCCCCUUACCAUCUUUCAGGCCUCUGCUCAAAUGUCACCUUCUCAGAGGAGCCUUCCUUGACCACCUGUCACUCUCUGUGACCUCUGUCACUCUCGAUUCCCUUAUCCUGAUUUUUCCUUCCAAGUAUCUUUUACCUGACAUCAUCCACCCCACCAAAAGAUCUGUUCCAGGAGGGCAGGUGCUCUGUCCUAUCACUAAAGCAGUGGUCCCCAACCUUUUUGGCACCAGAGACCAGUUUCGUGGAAGACAGUUUUUCCACAGACAAGGUGGGGUGGUUUGGGAAUGAUUCAAGCAUGUUACAUUCAUUGCGCACUUGAUUUCUAUUAUUAUUACAUGAACUCCAGCUCAGAUCAUCAGGCAUUAGAUCCCAGAGGUUGGGGACCCCUGCACUACAGGAUUUCCACUCUACACCAUGUCUGGCAGAUGACUAGAGUUCUAUAAUUCAUUCAAUAGAUAUAAACAAAUGAAUGAAACCAACAGAGAAGUGCCUUGAGAAAUGAACAGAUCAUUUGGCAAAGGGCUCUUAAAAUUCCCAGUGCAUGUACUCUUUGACCCAGCAAUUCUACUUCAGAUGAGGUACUCUAUUGAUAAUACUAUCACCUACAUGCAAUCUGAUGUACAACAAUAUUCAUUGUGAUGAAUGUUGGUAAUAGCAAAAGUUCAGAAAGAACCUGAAUGCUUAUCAAUGGGCAAAUGGUUAAAUCCUGCACAUGCACACAACUGCAUACCAUCCUACUAAUACCAAAGGCAGCUCUCUGGGUGCUCAAUUGUGACUCAUAAUUAGGCAGGCUGCCCAUUGCCUGCAAAAAAAUGUGGGCUCACCCUAGAAUGAGACAGGCUGCGGUUUGAAUCCAGGGAUGCCUCCUGGCUACAGGAGCUUCAGUAAGGCCCUUCUUUUCAGACUCAUAUUCUGCAUCUGUUAAACGAGGAAGGGAGGUGGUUACAGUGAUGAAUAUAAACCAGAAUGUAGUAUACAGUGGGCCCACAGUACAAUGCCAAGCCUCUCCUUUUCCUUUAACUCAAAUUUCCACCUCUAAGGGUUUCCCAGAGGUGAAACUGGCAUGGAGGCUCCUCUGGGGUUGAGAAAUUCAGGUAAUAAAAACAGAUGCAACCUAACAGAUGAAGAUGCUAAAAAGGGAUACUGACAGACAUAACACAGAGGUGUCCUGUCAAGUGUAUCUCUGCCAAACACCCACAGUCUUCUGGAGAAUCCAUAAACAACAGGACUCUCAACUCAGUCUGUGUGAUGGUUGUUUUCACCCAGACUGUAACAGCCUGGAGAAAUAAUUCCACCUGCCACCUGUGCUGAGAAUAUGGCAGCAGGGAUGAGGCCUGGAGGGGAGGGGAGCAGUUCAGACUCAGUCACUAUCACUGUCAUUGUAAACCACAAAAUAAUAACACAGGGCCACUCUACAUGAGUGCUCAGCCCCUCAGGUGUGUCUCACUCUUUGGAACACCAUGCAAUGUAGCCUGUCAGUCUCUUUCGUCCAUAGGAUUUUCCCCA